UACGAAGGGGGCUAGCGUUGUUCGGAUUUACUGGGCGUAAAGCGCACGUAGGCGGAUCGUUAAGUCGGGGGUGAAAUCCUGGAGCUCAACUCCAGAACUGCCUUCGAUACUGGCGCUCUUGAGUCCGGAAGAGGUGAGUGGAACUCCUAGUGUAGAGGUGGAAUUCGUAGAUAUUAGGAAGAACACCAGUGGCGAAGGCGGCUCUCUGGAACGCAACUGACGCUGAGACGCGAAAGCGUGGGGAGCAAACAGG
rnacentral:rRNA from 1 species